rnacentral:rRNA from 1 species
GAUGAACGCUAGCUACAGGCUUAACACAUACAAGUCGAGGGGCAGCAUGGGCUUAGCUUGCUAAGCCCGAUGGCGACCGGCGCACGGGUGAGUAACACGUAUCCAACCUUCCGGUAACUCCGGUAUAGCCUUUCGAAAGAAAGAUUAAUCCCGGAUAGUAUGGUGAUUCCGCAUGGUUGGGAUAUUAAAGAACUUCGGUUAUCGAUGGGGAUGCGUUCCAUUAGCUUGUUGGCGGGGUAACGGCCCACCAAGGCUUCGAUGGAUAGGGGUUCUGAGAGGAAGGUCCCCCACACUGGAACUGAGACACGGUCCAA